UUUUUUGUGGCGUGCAGCUCUAUACCCUUUGUGACAUACCUACAACUGUUGCUUCGGCGGGUAGGCCGUCCCCUGAAAAGGACGCCUCCCGGCCCGGACCGGACCCCCCGUGGGGCCGGACUCGGCGCCCGCCGGAGGAUAACCAAACGCUAUUUUAACGACGUUUCUUCUGAGUGGCAUAAGCAAAAUAAUCAAAACUUUUAACAACGGAUCUCUUGGUUCUGGCAUCGAUGAAGAACGCAGCGAAAUGCGAUAAGUAAUGUGAAUUGCAGAAUUCAGUGAAUCAUCGAAUCUUUGAACGCACAUUGCGCCCGCCAGCAUUCUGGCGGGCAUGCCUGUUCGAGCGUCAUUUCAACCCUCAAGCUCUGCUUGGUGUUGGGGCUCUACGGUCGACGUAGGCCCUCAAAGGUAGUGGCGGACCCUCCCGGAGCCUCCUUUGCGUAGUAACAUUUCGUCUCGCACUGGGAUCCGGAGGGACUCUUGCCGUAAAACCCCCCAAUUUUUCAAGGUUGACCUCGGAUCAGGUAGGAAUACCCGCUGAACUUAAGCAUAUCAAAGCCCCGGGAGGAAAA
rnacentral:rRNA from 1 species